GAUGAACGCUGGCGGCGUGCCUAAUACAUGCAAGUCGAGCGAAUGGAUUAAGAGCUUGCUCUUAUGAAGUUAACGGCGGACGGGUGAGUAACACGUGGGUAACCUGCCCAUAAGACUGGGAUAACUCCGGGAAACCGGGGCUAAUACCGGAUAACAUUUUGAACCGCAUGGUUCGAAAUUGAAAGGCGGCUUCGGCUGUCACUUAUGGAUGGACCCGCGUCGCAUUAGCUAGUUGGUGAGGUAACGGCUCACCAAGGCAACGAUGCGUAGCCGACCUGAGAGGGUGAUCGGCCACACUGGGACUGAGACACGGCCCAGACUCCUACGGGAUGCAGCAGUAGGGAAUCUUCCGCAAUGGACGAAAGUCUGGCGGAGCAACGCCGCGUGAGUGAUGAAGGCUUUCGGGUCGUAAAACUCUGUUGUUAGGGAAGAACAAGUGCUAGUUGAAUAAGCUGGCACCUUGACGGUACCUAACCAGAAAGCCACGGCUAACUACGUGCCAGCCGCCGCGGUAA
rnacentral:rRNA from 1 species